rnacentral:rRNA from 1 species
UACGUAGGUGGCAAGCGUUAUCCGGAAUUAUUGGGCGUAAAGCGCACGUAGGCGGUCAUGUAAGUCAGGAGUGAAAGCCCUCGGCUUAACCGGGGAAGUGCUUUUGAAACUGCAUGACUUGAAUACUGGAGAGGGUCGCGGAAUUCCCGGUGUAGAGGUGAAAUUCGUAGAUAUCGGGAGGAACACCAGUGGCGAAGGCGGCGACCUGGACAGAUAUUGACGCUGAGGUGCGAAAGCGUGGGGAGCAAACAGG